GAAGAACGAGACCAAAUUCAAAUUUUCAAACAAGAUGGAAACCUACAGCUUCCCAAGUUGGUUCCUUGGUUGGAUCUGUGCCGUGUCUGGAAUAUUGCAAGCCCUUUACAAUAAGACACUUUUACUUCUGCGAGCCUUUCAUGCAGUCUGCUGUCUGUUAGCGUACUGUGGCCGUCAUCGAGGUGACUUCAUGUGGAGACUUCAUGACUGGAUCCCUAUGGAGCUGCAUCUAAGAAGGAUCGUAAUAUCACGUAUCAGUUAGAUGACCAAGUUCAGGGCCUGUACGAGUGCUGCAGCUCAGCGUUGGAGCUCGGAUCAAUGGAAUACUGUUGGGGAUACAAUGGACCACACCCACAUACUGAUUAGACCCUCUGAUUGGAUAUCACAUGGAUGUCUUGACCACUACCAUGGCUUUCAUGCAAAUUGAUGAAGGUUCCAGAUUGAGCUGAAAUAAGAAGAAAACAAGGAGCGGAGGGAAAACUCAGGAUUGUGGAGAGGGUGGAUGUAUGUGCAGCAUGUGGGGACUUUCCAGUGGAUGAAGAUUGCCUCACUAGAGGAAAGUAUUUAUUCAGGAGUAAUUGAGAGAGAAAUAAUACAGCAGCCAAGAGCUCAGCCUGAGCGGAUGAGCAAGAAGAGGAUGUGGGUGAUUGAAACAUGGCCACAAUUUGUUUUAACUGGCUGUAGAAAUAAGCAUGGCGGAGCUCUUAGGGCUUGGUAGCUGUAAAUCUGGAGCCUUGCAGGAGUAUUGUCGGUUCAUAACCUUUCUCUCUUUCUUGUGCUCGCUCUCCCUCCCUUACGCCUCCCAGGGGUACAUUUAGCUGGGGAAAUGGAGCUUUUCUUCCCUUUAUUUGACUUCCUUGUCACUGGCAAACUCUCUCUCUCUUUCUCUCUCAUUCUCAUUCUCAUUCGCUCUCUCUCUCUCUC